UCCGAAGGGUGCAAGCGUUGCUCGGAAUUAUUGGGCGUAAAGCGCACGUAGGCGGCUUGGCAAGUCGGAUGUGAAAUCCCUCGGCUCAACCAAGGAAGUGCAUCCGAAACUGCUGAGCUUGAGUACGAAAGAGGAUCGCGGAAUUCUCGGUGUAGCGGUGAAAUGCGUAGAUAUCGAGAGGAACACCUGCGGCGAAGGCGGGUUGCUGGGCUGACACUGACGCUGAUGCGCGAAAGCGUGGGGAGCAAACAGG
rnacentral:rRNA from 1 species